UGGGGAAUAUUGCACAAUGGGCGCAAGCCUGAUGCAGCAACGCCGCGUGAAGGAUGAAGGGUUUCGGCUCGUAAACUUCUUUAGGCAGGGACGAAGAAAAUGACGGUACCUGCAGAAUAAGCCCCGGCUAACUACGUGCCAGCAGCCGCGGUAAUACGUAGGGGGCAAGCGUUAUCCGGAAUGACUGGGUGUAAAGGGUGAGUAGGCGGCUAGGCAAGUCAUAUGUGAAAUCCCAAGGCUUAACCUUGGGACUGCAUAAGAAACUGUCAAGCUAGAGUACAGGAGAGGUAAGCGGAAUUCCUAGUGUAGCGGUGAAAUGCGUAGAUAUUAGGAAGAACACCAGUGGCGAAGGCGGCUUACUGGACUGAAACUGACGCUGAGUCACGAAAGCGUGGGGAGCGAACA
rnacentral:rRNA from 1 species